AGUGAACGCUGGCGGUAGGCCUAACACAUGCAAGUCGAACGGCAGCACAGUAAGAGCUUGCUCUUACGGGUGGCGAGUGGCGGACGGGUGAGGAAUACAUCGGAAUCUACUUUUUCGUGGGGGAUAACGUAGGGAAACUUACGCUAAUACCGCAUACGACCUACGGGUGAAAGCAGGGGAUCUUCGGACCUUGCGCGAUUGAAAGAGCCGAUGUCGGAUUAGCUAGUUGGCGGGGUAAAGGCCCACCAAGGCGACGAUCCGUAGCUGGUCUGAGAGGAUGAUCAGCCACACUGGAACUGAGACACGGUCCAGACUCCUACGGGAGGCAGCAGUGGGGAAUAUUGGACAAUGGGCGCAAGCCUGAUCCAGCCAUACCGCGUGGGUGAAGAAGGCCUUCGGGUUGUAAAGCCCUUUUGUUGGGAAAGAAAAGCAGCAGGUUAAUACCCUGCUGUUCUGACGGUACCCAAAGAAUAAGCACCGGCUAACUUCGUG
rnacentral:rRNA from 1 species